rnacentral:rRNA from 1 species
UACGUAGGGGGCAAGCGUUGUCCGGAUUUAUUGGGCGUAAAGAGCGUGUAGGCGGCCAGACAAGUCUGCUGUGAAAACUCGAGGCUCAACCUCGAGCUGUCGGUGGAAACUGUCUGGCUAGAGUCCGGAAGAGGAGAGUGGAAUUCCUGGUGUAGCGGUGAAAUGCGCAGAUAUCAGGAAGAACAACUAUGGCGAAGGCAGCUCUCUGGGACGGUACUGACGCUGAGACGCGAAAGCGUGGGGAGCGAACAGG